UGGUGGAGUGGUUUGUCUGGUUAAUUCCGUUAACGAACGAGACCUUAACCUGCUAAAUAGUUACGCAUAACUUCGGUUAUGCGGGCAACUUCUUAGAGGGACUUUGUGUGUCUAACGCAAGGAAGUUUGAGGCAAUAACA
rnacentral:rRNA from 1 species